UGGAAGUAUGGCCUGGUUUAUUUUUUUUUUAUUAUUUUUUAAAGCUUACAUCAAAAUAAGUACAUGUGCUUGCAAUUUGCUAGUUGAAAGCACAGCUAUGGGGGUUUUUUUUGCCGAAUCGUUAAAUAUCUGUCAUGUUACGAUAGGAACAAAUAUUCUCAUGAACCGUCGCACCAGAUAAUGUAAAGCAGUGCUGAUGCAGAGAUACCUUCCCAGCCUUGUACCUUGUAUCACCAUUCCUGCCUCUUUCAUGCUGUCAGCUGGCAACCCAUCACCUGAGUGCUGACUUGGGCCAGCAGUCCAUGUUUUUCCUUCAGAUUAACCCCGUUCUUGGAUUUGCCGGCUGAGACAAUGUUUGGAGUAGAGUCACAUGAUCAAUCUGCAUUUUCUUGCUGUCUUCCUGAGCUGUUGCACCGCUCUUUUUCAUAGCAGAUUUACACUGAAGAGUGGUGAAUAAAGAUGAGGUUAAUCCGGCAUUGUUAAAUCUAUUCAAGGAGACAACCUGGAGAUUGCCAUGGAAACAGGUUCUACAGACGAAAAGCGUAAUCCUACUUUGAAAUACUGUAUAUGGACCUUUACCACUGCGUGGCUUACAGAGUCACACUGUACACAAACAUGAUGCUGCAGCAGAGGAAUGGCAAACCUGUCUCCCGUCUCAUCCAGUGAUAAUUAUGCUGCCACAUCCUCCCACUUACAGCCCAGAGCAUCACGCAUCGCAUCUCCUUCCCCUCCACCUGCUGAAUCUUCUCCCCCCAGCCCCCAGCUCGGUUGUCACCUGGGUGUAAGAGGGACCCGAGGCCCUGCCUGUGGAACCAAGGUGGUGGCUCUGGCAGGAGCAUCACAGAUUUGGUGUUGCCACAAGUGAGCACCUCACAAGCUACAGGACAACUGACCACGUGUCUGAAGUCAGGAGUGAGGGUCCCAGUAUCCACCCUCCAAAAAAAUCAGCAGGAUCUAGGGAGUGCUUCCUGGGACGUGGCCUCAGGGAACGGGUGACCACUGUGGUGAGCAUGGAGGGGUGCCCCCUCCUGCCAUGCAGGUAUUUUUGGCAGGUCACAAAGGAGCGCUGUUCUCCAUAUGCACCUGCCCACCACCCUCCAGAGCUUGUUAGAUGGUGAAGAGGGAAAGGACAGCAGCAGGUAAGAAUUUCAUGUAACUAUUUACUAUGGGAAACCCGUUGAGCUGUGAAGCAAGAGAUUUUCUGGAAGAGAAUACUGCAUAUAUAUCUAGCAUACAGGUAUACAUAGAUUUAUAUAUAUAUCUCAAACCUUAGUUUUGCUCCCUUUUCAUAUUGACAUUUGCCCCCAAUUUCUGGACACAUCUCUAGACUUCUCAAAGGAAUUAAAGGUUCAUCUGCUCCUUUUUCAGGUCUAUGCAAGUAAUGCACAGAUGUAGGCGUGCUCUGUGCCUUUAUAGGCCUUACACACAUACCUCUUUUAGACAAGUAAAACAUUCUUGCUGUUUUCAUAUCACUGGGCUGUGCUCAUCUAUCAGUAAAAUACGCGUUUCGAUAUUCCCACAGCCUGUAACAGGCAUCACAAUUUCCUGUUAUUUGGUAAUUCCUGUUUUGUAAUUGUUUAGAAAAACUCUCACUUUGCUUUUGCAAAAUUUAACAUUCACGGGAAAAA